GCAUUUGUAUAUGCAAAUAUGUGUACACAUCGGUUUGUGUGUGUGUGAUGUUUAGGUCACAGGCACUGUCGCUGUUACGCCUACUUAUCUAUCAGCUCCGAGACGCUACAGAUGGCGCCAGCCUGUAUCACCUUCGACGUCGGCUGGAAACCGUUAAACAGGACAAACUGAGUCUUUCAGGAGCGCCUCUUUCGACAGUCAACACACCACCUGCAGCUGACAGCAUGUCUGCAACAACAAUAAUUACGACAGAACCGACGAUACCUUCCAUAGUCAGUAACACAUCUACAACGACAUCAAUGAUAACGUCGACAAGCAUAUUUGCACAGAUGAACACGACACCUGCUACAGGUAACAACGGGCCUGGAGCAGGAACUAGCAACAGUCCUGACACAACAUCAGAACCUAGCACGACAGUUACAACUUCUGCAAUUAAUAGUAUAUCUGGAACAACAUCAAAAUUAACGCCAUCUGUAUCUUCAACGACACUUACCACAGAUACUACACCUGCGACAAUUAAUAAUAAACCUGAAACAACGACAUCAAGUCUAACGUCAGGUGCAUCUUCAACGACGUCUACCACACUGACUGCGACUAACAAUAUUCCUACAGACACCACCACAUCACAGACAACCACAACCCGAUCAGCAACCACCGCCCCAAACUGUACCUCUUACAAUUUCUUCAUCAUCAUCAUCAUCAACGACGACAACACCCACCAACAACAAUGACUACACAAUCAUCAUCAUCAACAACGACGACAACACCACCAACAACAACAAUGACUACACAAUCAUCAUCAACAACGACAACACCACCAACAACAACAAUGACUACAUCAACAACAACAAUGACUACAUCCACAAAGACGACUCCUGCCUAUAUAAUAGCUUCCUGGAAGGGCGAGUCGUGCUUUUUAUUUGGAGGAUGCUCAAGCGUUCCAGACAGCGUGUGCGUGUUAGCUUUCUGCGUCUGUGUUCCCCGUACUUCUACAACUCCUUAACUGCUUCUUGUGUCAUACCUAUAUGAACAUCAUCUUCGUACUACAAACUCAAGGAACGUCAGAUCCAUGCUACAAAGCUACAAAAAGUCCAAAGAAUCUAGAAACACACCAGGAAGUUCAAGGAACGUCAAUGGCGCUCUACUGAAGGAAGAGACGUCAGAUCCACACCACACAAGCCCCACUGUGCCGUCUUCGCUGUUGCUGGGUUACAAUACUACUUGUUAACCUGUCUUGCACGAUUCAAUUAUUUUCUGUUAUUUCUGGAAAAGGGCAGUCAGUGUUGCUAACAAGUUCAAGUUCAAAUAAACUGAGGAUGGCAGAUUGACAAAUGUGCUAAUAAUGCAAAUUUAUAUGUUUGCUUGAACUUCAUCACAAUUUUUUUUUCAAUUUUUUUUAAUUUUUACGCUUUCUCUCCCCACAUCUCUUUCUUGUUAUCUAUGCAUCAUGCACCCAUCCCAUGGGUUGCCUUUAUUUCUGAACUAAGCACAAAGACUGAAAGAUAAUUACAUGCAAAAAUAGAAUGGGUCAUUGUUGCUAAAAGACACAAAGAAUAUAAAUUUUUGUAAACUGACAUUGAAAUGUAAAAAAAAAAAAUACUUAAAUAGGUGGACCUUCGCUGUUUGAGAUGGUUUAAUUAAUAACUUGUCAGUCUUUUACUUAUUAAUGGAUUAUUAUUAAGAAGGGUAAUCUGCCAAUUAUUUGUGUACAGUUUGCAGAGUUAUUGAAAAUGAAACACUUUCACCCAUAAUUGUUCUUUAUACGGUAAAAUAAGACAUGCAUAUUUAUUUAGAAUAAACUUGCACUAUUCUGAUAUCUUACAAUUCUAUUGAAUUUACGCGCAAUUUUUUAUGUACAUCUUUUAGACACUGUUGGGAAGCAGCACUCUGAUACUCAAACUUACCAUUAAAUCCCUCUGCAUUGUCAAAAUAUGUUGCUAAAUCCUUGCAUUGUUCUGUACUCUCACUUCUAACCAAAAAGAG